UACACUGUUGCACAUAGCUACUAAGAAGACUUGGUGUUGAGAUGGGAAGGACAGAAGUCCAGGCCAGGAUGGAGGGUUAGCACAACCCAGUGAGCCAGGCCUGACAAGUGCAAGCUGGAACUAUAAGGCAGCUCUUAUGACAAAGGCAAACGAUGGCCAUUUUUUUCCUCUUUGAGAAUAUUUGGUAUUUUAUAAACUUUCUACAAUUAUAUGUUAAUUUUAGAAUCAGAAAGUACAAAAGGCUAUUUUAAAAAUGAACAAAAUUGUAAGAGGAAAAAAAGCAUUGAACUUGGAGUCUGUCUCCAAGGCUGCCUAUGAGGACCCACUCCCCUUCCCACUUCCUGGGCCUCUGGACUGCUGAACCAUUAUGCAACCUGGCACUGCCGACCCUUCCUCUUGCUCCAGUGGCCAUACUUGGCUUGAUGCCACCAAAUUGGACAGAGCAACUCUUGGUAUGUCCAGUCUGAAGUAACUAAAUCGGGACACACUGGAUUAAUUUUCCUUGGAGAAAAUAGGACAAGUCUAUGAGAAUCUUGCUUUGCAAGCCUGCUCCACGACUUGUCUCUCAAACAUGCCUGGGGGAGCGUGCUUGAGUGUUCCCGACCACCAGAGUUGGCGCCCGAACAGGGAUUGGAAACAGUAAUCAGUGCCAGGGGCACCUUCGCCAUUCCUCGAGCCAGGUGUAAGGCAUAGGACGUCCAAAUCAGUUACACAGUAGCCCCACAGACCUUGGGGUUUGCAAAAGAAUGGAAUGGAAAGAUUGAAAGAAAAGUUCACGAGGAACAUAGGAUUUUCUGAUGAAAGCUGGAGUCCAAGGAAUUGGGACCUGGGUUUCUUAGAAUGAAGUUAAGUCGGUGCACUUUCCACAUACUCUAUGGCCACCCACCUGCCAGCCUGUCACCUUCCUGGGACACCCUGGAGGCUUCACUCAACCCUGCACCUUUAAUACCAGUUCAUGCUCCUGUGCAACUGUCUGCAAGGUCUCAAUCCUCCCUCAGUGAAGUGCUUCAGUGUCCUUGGAGGGAAUGUGGUCUAAGCUCCAAGGAUGAAUAUGGAGUGGGUAAGAGUCACAAUGUUGACUGAAUGAAGUAAGAGAGAUAUUGAAAGGUGAACCGCACACAGGAGAGAACUUGACCUUGCACCCUGACCACAUGUCUACUUAUAUCCACUAUUUGGGUGCAUACUGGCUCAUCAAUGGUUGAGAAGGGAUCACUUUGGAGGAGACUGAGAGGGGCAACAAAGAUAGCAGAGAAUUCAGCACACUCGUUAAAUUACAACCUCCUUUGAAGAACUCGUCAGUCUAUACCAGCAUCUUGAGAUGCGUGGACCCUAAAAUGCUCUGAGUGACAGUCCUCACUUUUCUCUACUUCCGGGCAUCCAAGGCACUUCCUACUUGCAGAAAACAAACUUGGUGCUCACUGUAUAUAAUCACUGCACUUUCAUCAACCUUCCUCUUUCAACUUGCAUCACCAGUGUCCACCCUCUGACCUGGUUUACAGAGCUCUCGCUCUCUUUCAUCCAGGUCCUAAGUUCCACCCAUGAAUUCUUUGUGUGUCUGUGUUUCCUGACUAAUUUGAAGAGAGACAGCACGCGUGGACUGUGCUUUUCUGCCCUCUGUACUCCCUUCUCCAUUCUAGGCACAUGUUUCAUAGGAUUGCUGGAUGCUAAGUGACUAUAAAGAUGAAUUAGAUAUGAUUUCUGUCCUCUAGGAGUUCACAGCUUAGGAGGAGGAAUAAGCAAUAUGUAUCUAGUAGUAGCCUAGUAGUAACUGGGCUACUAGGUGAAAAAUAAUAAAUUUGGCAAGAAAACUAAAGAAAAAGUGUUAUGAGAUUCAGAGGAAGAAAGAACCAUGGUCUGGGGAAAAAGAAGUGGAGGGGAAUUUUUCUUAAAGAACAGAUGGAAUAAGAUAUGAGUUGUGGUAGGAGGGGAAGGAUGAGGGGUGUCACUGCAAAAAAGUAUAACAUGGGCCACCAAAACAAGUGCCUGGUGGUGCAAGGGGUGUGGAUAGUGAAAGCUGAAAAAUAUAGUGUGGAUUCUUCCUUGUGCAUUGCUAUACAGUCUAAUUCAGUGGAUCCCAAUUUUUGCUGCAUAUUUGAAUCACAUCAGGACUUUGAAAAUCAUAAUGUUCAGACUAGACCAGACAAAGAAUAUAAAGUAUCUGUAAGUGAUAACCAGGCAUUAGUACUUCUUUUUUUAGUUCUUCCAUUGUUUAAAAUGUAACCAGGGACCAGAACCAGUGUUAAAUGACCAUAUCUUGGGGCCUCCCUGGUGGCACAAAAGGUUAAACGUCAGCACUACGAAGCUACCUGCAACCACUGGAGCAGAUUUUCGAUCCCUGGCCAGGGUAGUGACCCACAUGGCACAGCAGACCUCUCCUGUCUGGCCUGCUCCCCUUAGCAGUGUAUUUCAGUCAAUUCACCUGUUCUGUUUCCCACUCAGAUAUACAUACAUUUUUGAUUAGUAACAAGUAAGGAUGUUUGUGCAAAAUAUCUCAAAGUAUGAAAUUCAUCCAGGCAAGAGCAGAAUGACUACCUUGAACACCCAGACUCUAGGCCACUACCUUUCAUUUUUAAAUAUGCACACACGCGGGCCUCCCCUAGUGGCUCAGGUGGUUGAGCACAGCGCUGUGAAGCUGUCCGCAGCCUCUGCAGUGCCAGUUCGAUCCCGGCCGGCCAGCAAGGGUCCCACAUGGCACAGCAGACCUCUCCUGUCAUGACUGCUGCUCCCCUCAGCAGUGUAUUUCAUCAGUCUGCCUGUUCUCUGUUCCCUGCUCUGUCUCUGGUGAAUCCUCUCACCCUCCCGCGAAUCUGGCCUGUACCCCAGUUCUUGUAUAAAUAAAAAAAAUCUUUAAAAUAAAAUAAAU